rnacentral:rRNA from 1 species
CGGACGGGUGAGUAACACGUGGAUAACCUACCUAUAAGACUGGGAUAACUUCGGGAAACCGGAGCUAAUACCGGAUAAUAUAUUGAACCGCAUGGUUCAAUGGUGAAAGACGGUUUUGCUGUCACUUAUAGAUGGAUCCGCGCCGCAUUAGCUAGUUGGUAAGGUAACGGCUUACCAAGGCAACGAUGCGUAGCCGACCUGAGAGGGUGAUCGGCCACACUGAACUGAGACACGGUCCAGACUCCUACGGGAGGCAGCAGAG